rnacentral:lncRNA from 1 species
AUGAAGACCACCAGGCAUCAGAGUUGUUGGAUAUUCCUUCCUUUGAGAAACUCAAAGUGGAUUAUGAUUCUCCUCCUGGUAAUCAUGUUGCUGAGCAAGGGCCUGUUAGUCACCAGCCACAGAGAUUGCCUUCAAUGGACGAUGAGCCAUACUUCUCAUACCCAAAUUUGUUCACAUCACAAAACUCAAAUCUCGGAUCUGGUGCACAAUCUGCUAGAGAUCAUUCUCGUUCCACCAAUGACCUUUAAGUUGAGUCCUGUGCGUUGGUUAUGUGGGAACCUUUAAGUUGAGUCCUGUGCAUUGGUUAUGUGGUGAGUUGAUUGACUGCUACGUAGUUUAUCGAUGCAAAUAUGGUAUGAGCCAUUUUUAUUGUUAUUUGUAGAGUGUGAGAUUAUUAGUCGUAGUGGUGUUAAUUCCCUAGAGUCGUUUCUGCAAUCAUGUCCAAUGAGGUUUAUAAUAAGGAAAUUUCAAUUACUUGAUGUAGUUGAGAAGCCAUCU